rnacentral:rRNA from 1 species
AAACAUUGCGGCGUGCUAUACAUGCAAGUCGAGCGAAUGGAUUAAGAGCUUGCUCUUAUGAAGUUAGCGGCGGACGGGUGAGUAACACGUGGGUAACCUGCCCAUAAGACUGGGAUAACUCCGGGAAACCGGGGCUAAUACCGGAUAACAUUUUGAACCGCAUGGUUCGAAAUUGAAAGGCGGCUUCGGCUGUCACUUAUGGAUGGACCCGCGUCGCAUUAGCUAGUUGGUGAGGUAACGGCUCACCAAGGCAACGAUGCGUAGCCGACCUGAGAGGGUGAUCGGCCACACUGGGACUGAGACACGGCCCAGACUCCUACGGGAGGCAGCAGUAGGGAAUCUUCCGCAAUGGACGAAAGUCUGACGGAGCAACGCCGCGUGAGUGAUGAAGGCUUUCGGGUCGUAAAACUCUGUUGUUAGGGAAGAACAAGUGCUAGUUGAAUAAGCUGGCACCUUGACGGUACCUAACCAGAAAGCCACGGCUAACUACGUGCCAGCAGCCGCGGUAAUACGUAGGUGGCAAGCGUUAUCCGGAAUUAUUGGGCGUAAAGCGCGCGCAGGUGGUUUCUUAAGUCUGAUGUGAA